AUUGAACGCUGGCGGCAUGCUUUACACAUGCAAGUCGAACGGUAACAGGCCGCAAGGUGCUGACGAGUGGCGAACGGGUGAGUAAUGCAUCGGAACGUGCCCAGUCGUGGGGGAUAACGCAGCGAAAGCUGUGCUAAUACCGCAUACGAACUAUGGAUGAAAGCGGGGAACCGUAAGGCCUCGCGCGAUUGGAGCGGCCGAUGUCAGAUUAGGUAGUUGGUGGGGUAAAGGCCUACCAAGCCGACGAUCUGUAGCUGGUCUGAGAGGACGACCAGCCACACUGGGACUGAGACACGGCCCAGACUCCUACGGGAGGCAGCAGUGGGGAAUUUUGGACAAUGGGCGCAAGCCUGAUCCAGCAAUGCCGCGUGCAGGAAGAAGGCCUUCGGGUUGUAAACUGCUUUUGUACGGAACGAAACGGUCUGGGUUAAUACCCUGGGCUAAUGACGGUACCGUAAGAAUAAGCACCGGCUAACUACGUGCCAGCCGCCGCCGUAACAC
rnacentral:rRNA from 1 species